rnacentral:rRNA from 1 species
CCUACGGGUGGCUGCAGUGAGGAAUAUUGCGCAAUGGGGGCAACCCUGACGCAGCAACGCCGCGUGAGUGAGGAAGGUUUUCGGAUUGUAAAGCUCUGUCGAGUGGAAAGAAAUGCAUGAUGGCUAAUAUCCAUCAUGCUUGACGGUACCGCUAAAGGAAGCCCCGGCUAACUCCGUGCCAGCAGCCGCGGUAAUACGGGGGGUACAAGCGUUGUUCGGAAGUAUUGGGGGGGAAGAGCGUGUAGGCGGUGAAAUCCCUGGGCUUAACCUAGGAAGUGCAUUUGAAACUGUCAGGCUUGAGUAAGGGAGAGGAAAGUGGAAUUCCUGGUGUAGAGGUGAAAUUCGUAGAUAUCAGGAGGAACACCGGUGGCGAAGGCGACUUUCUGGCCCUAUACUGACGCUGAGACGCGAAAGCGUGGGUAGCAAACAGGAUUAGAUACCCUUGUAGUC